UCCUCCCUCUUUCUUCGUGCUUAACACAUGCAAGUCGAACGGAAAGGCUCCAGCUUGCUGGAGUACUCGAGUGGCGAACGGGUGAGUAACACGUGGGUGAUCUGCCCUGCACUUCGGGAUAAGCCUGGGAAACUGGGUCUAAUACCGGAUAGGACCGCACUUUGGUGUGUGUGGUGGAAAGGUUUUUCUGGUGUGGGAUGAGCUCGCGGCCUAUCAUUUUGUUGGUGGGGUAAUGGCCUACCAAGACGGCGACGGGUAGCCGGCCUGAGAGGGUGGACGGUCACAUUGGGACUGAGAUACGGCCCAGACUCCUACGGGAGGCAGCAGUGGGGAAUAUUGCACCAUGGGGGAAACGCUGAUGCAGCGACGCCGCGUGGGGGAUGAAGGCCUUCGGGUUGUAAACUCCUUUCGCUAGGGACGAAGCUUUUUGUGACGGUACCUGGAGAAGAAGCACCGGCUAACUACGUG
rnacentral:rRNA from 1 species